GAGUUUGAUCUUGGCUCAGCCUGAACGCUGGCGGCGUGGCUAAGACAUGCAAGUCGAACGGGGCCGUAGCAAUACGGUCCAGUGGCGGACGGGUGAGUAAAGUAUCGCUAACGUACCCCUGGGUCUGGGAUAGCCGUGGGAAACCGCGGGUAAUACCAGAUGACGUGGCCUGGUGGCAUCACCGGGACCCCAAAGGUCGCAAGGCCGCCGAGGGCGCGGGCGAUAUCGUAUCAGCUUGUUGGCGGGUAACGCCCACCAAGGCGAUGACGCGUAGCUGGUCUGAGAGGACGGCCAGCCACAUCGGGACUGAGACACUGCCCCGGACUCCUACGGGGGGCUGCAGUAACGAAUCUUCCGCAAUGCACGCAAGUGUGACGGAGCGACGCCGCGUGUGGGACGAAGU
rnacentral:rRNA from 1 species